GUGGUUGAGGGGUUUUCUUUUUUUUUUUAUGUACAACAUUUUUGCCAUUUGUGUCAAGGCAGUGUGUAACUUGGGUACAACAUUUGUUAUACAAUUGUUGGUGGUUCCAACACUUAAAACUAAAGCUCCAUUUGUUUCACUGAAAAUGGCUUCUGAAAAAUGAUUUUUAAAAAAUGACUUACUUUUCUGUAAAAUUUAAUAUUUUCAGGUGUUUGGAUGAAUCUAUGUAAAAUAUUUUCUUUUAUUUGGCAGGUUCUUUAAAAAUAUUUCAUAAAAGUCGUUUUCGAUUAAAUAAACAUACAUUUUAGAUUUUUUUAUUAUUU
rnacentral:lncRNA from 1 species